UACGUAGGGGGCUAGCGUUAUCCGGAAUUACUGGGCGUAAAGGGUGCGUAGGUGGUUUCUUAAGUCAGAGGUGAAAGGCUACGGCUCAACCGUAGUAAGCCUUUGAAACUGGGAAACUUGAGUGCAGGAGAGGAGAGUGGAAUUCCUAGUGUAGCGGUGAAAUGCGUAGAUAUUGGGAAGAACACCGGUGGCGAAGGCGGCUUUCUGGACUGUAACUGACACUGAGGCACGAAAGCGUGGGGAGCAAACAGGAUUAGAUACCCUGGUAGUCCCUGAGCGGGCU
rnacentral:rRNA from 1 species